UUUCAAUACAUUUUUUCUCUUCUUGUCACGAAUUCAUUUGCUACCUUUGGUUUCUUUUCCUUCAAUUUAUUAAUUCCUAGUAGCCACCAAAUUCAGCCAUUUGCAAUUCCUUUCUCAAAUUCCCUAUUUUAUUUCCAGUAGCUGACAUCCACUUUAAUUCAUUACCAAAUUUCCAACCCCAUACUCAAUCACGCCACCCAUCUUUUUC
rnacentral:lncRNA from 1 species